AGCGAACGCUGGCGGCAGGCCUAACACAUGCAGGUCGAACGAACCUUUCGGGGUUAGUGGCGGACGGGUGAGUAACACGUGGGAACGUGCCUUUAGGUUCGGAAUAACUCAGGGAAACUUGCGCUAAUACCGAAUGUGCCCUUCGGGGGAAAGAUUAAUCGCCUUUAGAGCGGCCCGCGUCUGAUUAGCUAGUUGGUUGAGGUAAUGGCUCACCAAGGCGACGAUCAGUAGCUGGUCUGAGAGGAUGAUCAGCCACAUUGGGACUGAGACACGGCCCAAACUCCUACGGGAGGCAGCAGUGGGGAAUCUUGCGCAAUGGGCGAAAGCCUGACGCAGCCAUGCCGCGUGAAUGAUGAAGGUCUUAGGAUUGUAAAAUUCUUUCACCGGGGACGAUAAUGACGGUACCCGGAGAAGAAGCCCCGGCUAACUUCGUG
rnacentral:rRNA from 1 species